rnacentral:rRNA from 2 species
CAGGACGAACGCUGGCGGCGUGCCUAAUACAUGCAAGUCGAGCGGACCGACGGGAGCUUGCUCCCUUAGGUCAGCGGCGGACGGGUGAGUAACACGUGGGUAACCUGCCUGUAAGACUGGGAUAACUCCGGGAAACCGGGGCUAAUACCGGAUGCUUGAUUGAACCGCAUGGUUCAAUCAUAAAAGGUGGCUUUUAGCUACCACUUGCAGAUGGACCCGCGGCGCAUUAGCUAGUUGGUGAGGUAACGGCUCACCAAGGCGACGAUGCGUAGCCGACCUGAGAGGGUGAUCGGCCACACUGGGACUGAGACACGGCCCAGACUCCUACGGGAGGCAGCAGUAGGGAAUCUUCCGCAAUGGACGAAAGUCUGACGGAGCAACGCCGCGUGAGUGAUGAAGGUUUUCGGAUCGUAAAACUCUGUUGUUAGGGAAGAACAAGUACCGUUCGAAUAGGGCGGCACCUUGACGGUACCUAACCAGAAAGCCACGGCUAACUACGUGCCAGCAGCCGCGGUAAUACGUAGGUGGCAAGCGUUGUCCGGAAUUAUUGGGCGUAAAGCGCGCGCAGGCGGUUUCUUAAGUCUGAUGUGAAAGCCCCCGGCUCAACCGGGGAGGGUCAUUGGAAACUGGGGAACUUGAGUGCAGAAGAGGAGAGUGGAAUUCCACGUGUAGCGGUGAAAUGCGUAGAGAUGUGGAGGAACACCAGUGGCGAAGGCGACUCUCUGGUCUGUAACUGACGCUGAGGCGCGAAAGCGUGGGGAGCGAACAGGAUUAGAUACCCUGGUAGUCCACGCCGUAAACGAUGAGUGCUAAGUGUUAGAGGGUUUCCGCCCUUUAGUGCUGCAGCAAACGCAUUAAGCACUCCGC